AACGCACCUUGCGCUCCUUGGUAUUCCGAGGAGCAUGCCUGUUUGAGUGUCAUUAAAUUCUCAAUCCUUAUUGGCUUUUUGGUUAAUGAGGCUUUGGAUGUGGAGGUUUUGCUGGUUUUUAGAUAAAAAGUCAGCUCCUCUAAAAUGCAUUAGCGGUUCAUAUGUGGAACUGUUCUAUUGGUGUGAUAAUUAUCUAUGCCAUGGAUCUCUGCAUGCCGCUUAUAAUCGUCCUUUAAGGGACAAGUUAAUGACUAUUUUGACCUCAAAUCAGGUAGGACUACCCGCUGAACUUAA
rnacentral:misc_RNA from 1 species